UUGGAGGGCAAGUCUGGUGCCAGCAGCCGCGGUAAUUCAGCUCCAAUAGCGUAUAUUAAAGUUGUUGCAGUUAAAAAGCUCGUAGUUGAAUUUCGGGAUCAAUUUAUCGGUCGUGCCUACGGUAUGAACUGGUACAAUUGGUUUCUCCCUUCUGACGAAGCAUGAUGCCAUUAAUUUGGUGUCGUGGGGAAUCAGGACUGUUACUUUGAAAAAAUUAGAGUGUUUAAAGCAAGCAUUAGCUUGAAUACAUUAGCAUGGAGUAAUGAAAUAGGACGUUUGAUCCUAUUUCGUUGGUUUCUAGGAUCGACGUAUGAUUAAUAGGGAUAGUUGGGGGCAUUAGUAUUCAAUUGUCAGAGGUGAAAUUCUUGGAUUUAUUGAAGACUAACUACUGCGAAAGCAUUUGCCAAGGAUGUUUUCAUUAAUCAAGAACGAAAGUUAGGGGAUCGAAGACGAUCAGAUACCGUCGUAGUCUUAACCAUAAACUAAGCCGACUAGGGAUCGGAUGAUGUUAAUUUUUUAAUGACUCAUUCGGCGCCUUACGGGAAAC
rnacentral:rRNA from 1 species